AUCCAGCUGACAAGUCCCAAAAGGGACGAAACGUGCGCCCUGGAU
rnacentral:hammerhead_ribozyme from 1 species